GAGUUUGAUCGUGGCUCAGAUUGAACGCUGGCGGCAGGCUUAACACAUGCAAGUCGAGCGGGGGAGAUUGCUUCGGUAAUUGACCUAGCGGCGGACGGGUGAGUAAUACUUAGGAAUCUGCCUAUUAAUGGGGGACAACAUCUCGAAAGGGAUGCUAAUACCGCAUACGCCCUACGGGGAAAGCAGGGGAUCACUUGUGACCUUGCGUUAAUAGAUGAGCCUAAGUCGGAUUAGCUAGUUGGUGGGGUAAAGGCUACCAAGGCGACGAUCUGUAGCGGGUCUGAGAGGAUGAUCCGCCACACUGGGACUGAGACACGGCCCAGACUCCUACGGGAGGCAGCAGUGGGGAAUAUUGGACAAUGGGGGGAACCCUGAUCCAGCCAUGCCGCGUGUGUGAAGAAGGCCUUAUGGUGUAAAGCACUUUAAGC
rnacentral:rRNA from 1 species